GUCUCUGUGGCGCAAUUGGGUCAGCGCGUUCGGCUGUUAACCGAAAGGUUGGUGGUUCAAGCCCACCCAGGGACG
rnacentral:tRNA from 1 species